rnacentral:rRNA from 1 species
AAGCCUGAUCCAGCAAUGCCGCGUGUGUGAAGAAGGCCUUCGGGUUGUAAAGCACUUAAGACCGGAAAGAAAUCCUUGGCUCUAAUACAGUCGGGGGAUGACGGUACCGGAAGAAUAAGCACCGGCUAACUACGUGCCAGCAGCCGCGGUAAUACGUAGGGUGCGAGCGUUAAUCGGAAUUACUGGGCGUAAAGCGUGCGCAGGCGGUUUGCUAAGACCGAUGUGAAAUCCCCGGGCUCAACCUGGGAACUGCAUUGGUGACUGGCAGGCUAGAGUAUGGCAGAGGGGGGUAGAAUUCCACGUGUAGCAGUGAAAUGCGUAGAGAUGUGGAGGAAUACCGAUGGCGAAGGCAGCCCCCUGGGCCAAUACUGACGCUCAUGCACGAAAGCGUGGGGAGCAAACAGGAUUAGAUACCCUGGUAGUCCACGCCCUAAACGAUGUCAACUAGUUGUUGGGGAUUCAUUUCCUUAGUAACGUAGCUAACGCGUGAAGUUGACCGCCUGGGGAGUACGGUCGCAAGAUUAAAACUCAAAUGAAUUGACGGA